AUAGGCCGUGGACUGAUGGCCUAAAAUCUUUCAAUUUGCUGCCCCCAUCGAGAAACUAAAACUUUUUCGCACAAAUAUACCUGUUAUGGUGUCAAAAACACAAAAUAACUUGGCCCCAAUGGAAAAAGUUGCACAAUGAUGAAAUAUUUAACGUUAAACUUCUGAAAUAAUCUUGUUCGAGAUUUUCGAAAACGCCAUUUUGUUUAUGCGCGGGAAAAGGUCUAGGUACGAGAUUCGGCGGGCUGAAUGUGGGCUACGCGAGGAGUUCGCCCGAUUUCACGAUUCACGCGAUUAUUACUAAAAAUUUGAUUGGCUAAAAGCUGAAAAACAGUAAAUAAAACAUGGCGACUGCAUUGGAAAGUCCAACUUAUGUUAAUGACUUCAUUUUAAGUCAUUAGCAUUUUAAGUCAUUAGUCAGUCAGCAGUUUUUACUGUUGAAGUGUCUAUCCUGUUACUCCUGUAUAAACAUUCAUUAUAUUAUUAUUAUAUUAUUAUUAUUACUAUGUUAGGGACCAUGCAUUAUUGGGCUAUUCCAUUAAAUAUCCGUACCCCCCCUGUCGAGGAUCCCUGGAAUUCUUCAGGGGUAAAGGGUUUUGAGCUUGGAAUUCUUCAGGGGUAAAGUGUUUUGAGCUUGGAAUUCUUCAGGGGUAAAGUGUUUUGAGUUUGGAAUUCUUCAGGGGUAAAUGGUUUUGAGCUUGGAAUUCUUCAGGUGUAAAGGGUUUUGAGCUUGGAAUUCUUCAGGGGUAAAGAGGUUUGAGAUUGAAAUUUUUCAGAGCUUGGAAUUCUUCAGGGGUGAAGGGUUUUGAGCUUGGAAUUCUUCAGGGGUAAAAGGUUUUGAGCUUGAAAUUCUUCAGGGGUAAAGGGUUUUGAGCUUGGAAUUCUUUAGGGGUGAAGGGUUUUGAGCUUGGAAUUCUUCAGGGGUAAAAGGUUUUGAGCUUGGAAUUCUUCAGGGGUAAAGGGUUUUGAGCUUGGAAUUUUGGAAUUCUUCAGGGUAAAAGGUUUUGAGCUUGGAAUUCUUCAGGGGUAAAGAGUUUUGAGCUUGGAAUUUUGGAAUUCUUCAGGGGUAAACAGUUUUGAGCUUGGAAUUCUUCAGGGGUAUGACAAUGAAAAACAUGUAUCCUCGACAGGGGGGGUACGGAUAUUAAAUGGAAUAGCCCAUUUAUAACUGGGGGUGGCAAAAAAAGGGGGUGGGUCAUGAGGUAUUUUUGACCAAAACAGGGGGCCACCUAAAAAUAUUGGUUCAGAAGAGGGGGUCCAGUUAU